rnacentral:rRNA from 1 species
CAGUCGUACCAACGGGAAAUCAAUUCAUCGAGUGUUGAAUUUGGGUUUUUGAAGAGUUUUAAAACCUUUGGGAUUCAAAUAUUUUCACUUUUUGAACGUAUUUUCUCGUACGGUAGGUUAACAUCGAUUUUGAACAUUAUAAAAUGAUCGGAGGAAUGUAGCUUCGAUCUCGUAUUGAAGUGUUAUAGCCUUUGGUAGAUGUAAUGAUCGAGAUCGAGGAUUGCAACGAAUACCCUUUUGGGCUAUCCGUCUGAUCUCUGAUACGUUGCCUCGGUAACGAAAGCGUGCUUACGGUGUUGAGGUAUUACGGUCAAAAGGUUAGAACGUGAUUACA